UACGGGGGGGGCAAGCGUUGUUCGGAAUUACUGGGCGUAAAGGGCUCGUAGGUGGCCAACUAAGUCGGACGUGAAAUCCCUCAGCUUAACUGGGGAACUGCGUCCGAUACUGGAUGGCUUGAGUAUGGGAGAGGGAUGCGGAAUUCCAGGUGUAGCGGUGAAAUGCGUAGAUAUCUGGAGGAACACCUGUGGCGAAAGCGGCACACUGGACCACAACUGACGCUGAGGCGCGAAAGCUAGGGGAGCAAACAGG
rnacentral:rRNA from 1 species